CAUUUUAUUAAGCGGGUGGAAAAGCAACCAACUACUUUUCCUCAUACUUACAAAAAGUGUCAAACUUUUAAUACUCUCAUUAUUUCCAAAUCCAAAAGAAAAUACACUCUUUUUUCUUCUUCUUCUUCUUUUUCUUUCAAGAAAACAUCAUGUCAUCUUCAUCUUUCCACAUAAAAAAAUCAUCAAAAGUUUGUAGUAAUAAUAUUGAUGAUUUAUCUCUAAAGAAAUCAACAACAUUGGCUAAUUGGUAUGAAGAAUUUGAAGUACUUUCAAGAAAUUAUAAAAAAGCUCAAGAACCAUCAUCAAGAUAUUAUAAAAUGAUGUGUGUUACAAGUUCAUAUGAUGAUGUUGUGGUGAUGGAGAAAAAUGUUUACAACAAUUCACGGUUGCCGGAAAAGUCGCCGGCGCCGGUGGUGAAGUUUGACACUUGCCGGCCACAGAGAAAGCAUGUCUAGUUUGUCACGUCGUGGUCAGAGAUGGAUUUAAAAUUUUACUUUGAUGUAAUUAAAGGUUUCUAUCGUUGAAUUUAUUGUAUCUUUAAACUUGCGAGUUUGGAUAAAUUUGUAACGUAUUUCAUGUACAUAUUUAUUAUGUUACACAUUUAAAAUAUUGUAUUCGACUCCUCCUUUAAUGUUUGGCAACGUAAGGAAAAUACACUUAAAAUAAGAUUUUCAUUUUGA